UUUAAGCGGCAGUGUAGCAGAUCUGCUACAAAUAGAAAAGUGCGCGAAUUUUUCGCAGUCUGGGUCUAGUUUCUUCUUUUACCCACAAUGCAAUACAGCCCACGUUGUUGACAUUGUUGUAAUGGCGAAAAUUUUUACCAAAGUGGCUUUUAGACCGAGAAAAUGAUGUCCAAAUCACAGUGAUUUCGGUAAGUUUUAAAGCUCUAAGUUCGUGACAAUGUUCUAUCUUUGUAAAGCGCUCUAGGGUAUAAGUUUUAGUAUAUUAUAAUUUGACAUAAGGCAGUCUUUUCAUAUCGUAUUUGUGUGUUUGUAUAAAUUCGUUUGUGUGUAUUGAAUAAUUUCAUAAAGAUAUUUGUAGCAUAUCUGCUACAUUGCCGCGAAGUGGUCACUGAAGCUCAGAUUACAUGAACAUUAUAUUUUUAAUAAAAGACACAACAUGUGCUGUAUUUUACUGCAAUUUCCUUUGAAUAUAGUUGCAACAAGUAAAUAUUUCUUUUGUCUUCAGUAUUGGGUCUCUUGGCUGCAGGUUAAACCAGUUGAACAUUCUAUUCUACCC